UACGAAGGUCCCAAGCGUUAUCCGGAUUUAUUGGGUUUAAAGGGUGCGUAGGCGGGUUAUUAAGUCAGUGGUGAAAGCCUACAGCUUAACUGUAGAACUGCCAUUGAUACUGAUGAUCUUGAGUACGAUUGAGGUAGGCGGAAUGUGUCAUGUAGCGGUGAAAUGCUUAGAUAUGACACAGAACACCGAUUGCGAAGGCAGCUUACUAAGUCGUAACUGACGCUGAUGCACGAAAGCGUGGGGAGCAAACGGG
rnacentral:rRNA from 1 species